rnacentral:rRNA from 1 species
AGUGAACGCUGGCGGUGGGCCUAACACAUGCAAGUCGAACGGCAGCACAGUAAGAGCUUGCUCUUACGGGUGGCGAGUGGCGGACGGGUGAGGAAUACAUCGGAAUCUACUUUUUCGUGGGGGUUAACGUAGGGAAACUUACGCUAAUACCGCAUACGACCUACGGGUGAAAGCAGGGGAUCUUCGGACCUUGCGCGAUUGAAUGAGCCGAUGUCGGAUUAGCUAGUUGGCGGGGUAAAGGCCCACCAAGGCGACGAUCCGUAGCUGGUCUGAGAGGAUGAUCAGCCACACUGGAACUGAGACACGGUCCAGACUCCUACGGGAGGCAGCAGUGGGGAAUAUUGGACAAUGGGCGCAAGCCUGAUCCAGCCAUACCGCGUGGGUGAAGAAGGCCUUCGGGUUGUAAAGCCCUUUUGUUGGGAAAGAAAAGCAGCAGGUUAAUACCCCGCUGUUCUGACGGUAACCAAAGAAUAAGCACCGGCUAACUUCGUG